GAUGAACGCUAGCGGCAUGCCUUACACAUGCAAGUCGAACGGCAGCACGGGAGCAAUCCUGGUGGCGAGUGGCGAACGGGUGAGUAAUAUAUCGGAACGUGCCCAGUCGUGGGGAUAACGUAGCGAAAGCUACGCUAAUACCGCAUACGAUCUAUGGAUGAAAGCGGGGGAUCGCAAGACCUCGCGCGAUUGGAGCGGCCGAUAUCAGAUUAGGUAGUUGGUGAGGUAAAGGCUCACCAAGCCGACGAUCUGUAGCUGGUCUGAGAGGACGACCAGCCACACUGGGACUGAGACACGGCCCAGACUCCUACGGGAGGCAGCAGUGGGGGAAUUUUUGGACAAUGGGCGCAAGCCUGAUCCAGCAAUGCCGCGUGCAGGAUGAAGGCCUCGGUUGUAACGUA
rnacentral:rRNA from 1 species